rnacentral:lncRNA from 1 species
CUGAAGAAAAAUAAUUGAUGAGCUGCAAAAUAUAGAUGCUGAUUCUGAAGUACGAAACCCAAAACAAAUUGUGAUUUUGAGCUUAGAAUCUCUCUUCACUACGCUGAUAAUUCUUCCCUUGCUUGUAUUGUAUGUACGCACUAGAAAAUGGCAGACAUCGGAAUUGGAAUAUGGGCGGUGGAAACACACCUGAUUUAAUCUGAAUAAAAAACAGAAUGAAAAAAUGUCAAAAAGUGAAGGGGAGGAAAAAAUGUGGGGUAUGAGUUUUUAGUGGGAAAGGGUAGAUAUAUA